rnacentral:rRNA from 1 species
GGACUACCCGGGUAUCUAAUCCCGUUCGCUCCCCACGCUUUCGCGCCUCAGCGUCAGGGUCGACCCAGAAGGCCGCCUUCGCCACUGGUGUUCCUCCGGAUAUCUACGCAUUUCACCGCUACACCCGGAAUUCCACCUUCCUCUAUCGCCCUCAAGAAGCCCAGUUUGCAGCCCCCCUCCCCGGUUGAGCCGGGGGCUUUCAGGCCACACUUAAACUUCCGCCUACGCGCUCUUUACGCCCAGUAAAUCCGGACAACGCUUGCCCCCUACGUAUUACCGCGGCUGCUGGCAC